rnacentral:lncRNA from 1 species
GGCUUCAAAGUAGCUGGGCCUUCUCUUCGCUUAAGGAGUUCCGGGAACUUUUGGGAAUUCCGGCAACUUGGGAAGUUGAGGCAUCGUCGGUAGCUCUGGCUUUGGAAUCUCUGGAACUGCAGGUUUUGUAAUUUCUGGAACCUUGGGCAGUUCAGGUUUUGGAACUUCUGGAAUCUUCGGCAGUUCAGGCUUUGGAAUCUCUGGAAACUUAGGAGCCUCAGACUUUGGAACCUCUGGAACCGUUGGCAAUUCGGGCUUUGGAACCUCUGGCACCUUCGGCAACUCAGGCUUCUGAAUCUCCGGCAUCUUGGGCAACUCGGGUUUCUGAAUCUCCGGCAUCUUAGGUAACUCCGGCAUUUUGGGCAACUCCGGCUUCUGGAUCUCCGGUACCUUAGGAGCCUCAAGCUUGGGAACUUCUGGCAACUUUGGCAACUCAGGUUUCUGAAUCUCCGGCAUCUUAGGUAACUCCGGCAUUUUGGGCAACUCCGGCUUCUGGAUCUCUGGUACCUUAGGAGCCUCAAGCUUGGGAACUUCUGGCAACUUUGGCAACUCAGGCUUUGGAAUCUCUGGCACCUUAGGAGCCUCAGGCUUUUCAGUCUCCAUUAGCUUAGGCACCUCAGGCUUUGAAUUCUCUGGAAACUUUGGCAAAUCAGGCUUUGGAAUCUCUGGAAACUUUGGUAAUUCAGGCUUUGGAAUCUCCGGCAUUUUUGGUAACUCGGGCUUCUGAAUCUCCGGUACCUUUGGUAACUCAGGUUUUGGAAUCUCUGGCAUCUUUGGGAGCUCAGGUUUUGGAAUUUCCGGAAACUUGGGCAAUUCAAGCUUGGGAAUAUCUGGCAGUUUAGUUUCCUCAGGCUUUGGAAUCUCCGGUACCUUUGGUAACUCUGGCUUUGGAAUCUCCGGGAUCUUUGGCAACUCAGGCUUUGGAAAUUCGGGUAACUUGGGCAACUCUGGUUUAGGGAACUCCGGCAACUUGGGAACUUCGAAUUUAGGUAGCUCAGGCAAUUUUGGUAUCUCCGGUUUAGGAUCCUCCAAUAACCGGCGAGCACCGACUGAAA